rnacentral:lncRNA from 1 species
CUCUUUUUCACACUGAUCCAUCUUAUGAUCCUUAGUACAUUUUCGGAACCACUUGAAUCUAUUUCUCGGCAUAUAGUACACUGAAAAUAAAGCAAUUCACAGAUUUCCACAAAAUAAAAAAGUUUGAGGAGUUAUGGUUAUUCCAAUACGUAGGUGGCGGGCAUCGUUUGCACAUCUCCAGAGAACUAGCUGGGAAUCCCCUCAUUAAGUAAGCCCUUGGGCUCCAUACUUAUCUGUAGGCAAAUGUCAGCCGCAGCUACCAUUAAGUGGCACAGCCACUUACAGUGAUUAUGAGGAUCCAAAAAGAUAAUGGAUAUAGAGUGUUAAGUAAACUGCAAGUUCAUAGAUGAAUAUGCAUUACUAUCUUUAAAGCAAAAUUAUUUUUAAAUGCUCCCGGAGUAGCAACUUAUAGAGAAGUUGAAUACACCAAUAAAUGAAAUGUGAGAGGCUGUCAUACCCAUAGCCCUGCUCCAUCAUUAAAAGUCUGCUUGAUUUUGAGUUCGGAACGAAAUUGAGUGAUUUUGAGUUAGAAUAGGAUAGAAGCAGCAUGUUUCUCCUAGAUGCAUACUGAGUAAAAUGGUCUUUUAAUACGCUGUUAGAUGUUUGUAAUUACUUUUGUUUCACUUUCUUAGUUAGAAAAAUUAGUAAGCAAGACACAGGUUUGAGCCUGUUCAGUGACCCUAAAGUCUAGGGGGAAAUAUUAUUUACAAACUUAGAAAUAAAUGUCUUGCUAAUUUUCUUCAGAAGAGAGAAUUUGCAUAACUCUUGACCUAAUUUUAGAGACAUGCAGCUUUUUACUCUACAUAUACAAGGUUAUACAAAGAUUGGACAACUACCUUGGGGAGACAAGGGUUUCAUUUAAUCAGUCAGAUAUCUAAUAAAAGUCAUUUGUAAUGAUCCCAUUCAUUGUUUGUGUUCAAAAACUGCUGCCGAGAAUGUGACCAGAAGUUAUAGUUGGGGUCCUCUUUUAUCUUUUCAGGUGGGACUUGUGCUCGCUGUUUUGGUGGCAGCCCUGGAAAGCAGAAAUCCUGGCUUUUGUUCAGAGGCCUGAGCCCUGGAGAGGCUACUGGGUUCCUGGUAGUAGAAAUUCUCUAACUUCUGGCACUGGGAGAGGUGGGCCGGCACUCCCAGCCGCAGGACUGCUUCUCUAAGAGUUGACUGCUGUGUAGUUUGAGUAAAUGGUAGCAGCCAGUACAGGGAUCAAGAAGACCCAAGGAUGAAGAUUUUCACUGAUUGAAAGUGAGCUGGAAUGGACAUCUGCAGGAAGUACUGCACUAGAAGUCUCGGCAGGGUGCUCUGCCUAUUUAUGGUGGGCAAAUAAAAGGUUUUCAGAAGACGAUCA